UACAGAGGGGGCAAGCGUUGUUCGGAAUUACUGGGCGUAAAGGGCGCGUAGGCGGCCAACUAAGUCGGAUGUGAAAUCCCCAGGCUCAACUUGGGAACUGCAUCCGAUACUGAUUGGCUUGAAUCCGGGAGAGGGAUGCAGAAUUCCAGGUGUAGCGGUGAAAUGCGUAGAUAUCUGGAGGAAUACCGGUGGCGAAGGCGGCAUCCUGGACCGGCAUUGACGCUGAUGAGCGAAAGCCAGGGGAGCAAACGGG
rnacentral:rRNA from 1 species